CUCUCUCUCUCUCUCUCUCUGUGUCUCUCUGUCUCUCUGUCUCUCUCUCUCUCUGUCUCUCUCUCUCUCUCUCUCUCUGUCUGUCUCUCCCUGUCUCUAACAAUUAUUUUAACAGCUGCCGAAGAAAUUGUCUUAAUCUAUUUUUAUGUCUUCACUGUUGCCAUGUUUGUGCAAUAUUUGUGUUUUGUAUGAAACUUUAUCGGGAUUUACAAACAAUGACGGAGAGUUCAUUUUAAAUUAUAUUAAAUGUAGAUUCUUAGAUUUUAUAAAACCAUCUAAGUGUAUAUCAUUUAUCUUAACAUGAUGUUUCUGUAAUGGUCAAUGUGUGGGGUUAUUUACAUUUUAAGAGAAGUUAUAUCAUUUUAUAUCAUUUUAAGAGAAGAUAUCUGGGCCGUUUAUACAUUAGAUCAGAAGUGAUAACUGGGCCGUUUAUACAUUAGAUCAGAAGUGAUAUCUGGCUCGUUUAUACAUUAGAUCAGAAGUGAUAACCGGGCCGUUUAUACAUUUGAUCAGAAGUGAUAUCUGGGCUGUUUAUACAUUAGAUCAGAAGUGAUAACUGGCCCGUUUAUACAUUAGAUCAGAAGUGAUAACCGAGCCGUUUAUACAUUAGAUCAGAAGUGAUAACCGGGCCGUUUAUACAUUAGAUCAGAAGUGAUAACCGGGCCGUUUAUACAUUAGAUCAGAAGUGAUAACCGGGCCGUUUAUACAUUAGAUCGAAGAGUAUUGACAGUGUUGACAUAAACAGUGUUUGGUUUUGUUCUACUUUAUGGCUGUCCCAAAUGGCCCCCUAUUCUCUGUAUAGGGAAUCCAAAUGGCCCUCUAUUCUCUGUAUAGGGAAUCCAAAUGGCCCUCUAUUCUCUAUAUAGGGAAUCCAAAUGACCUUCUAUUCUCUAUAUAGGGAAUCCAAAUGGCCCUCUAUUGUCUAUAUAGGGAAUCCAAAUGGCCCUCUAUUCUCUAUAUAGGGAAUCCUAAAGGGUUUAGGGACUACCUCCUAAAGGGUUUAGGGACUACCUCCUAAAGGGUUAGGGACUGACUCCUAAAGGGUUAGGGACAGACUCCUAAAGGGUUAGGGGUUAGGGACUGACUCCUAAAGGGUUAGGGGUUAGGGACUGACUCCUAAAGGGUUAGGGGUUAGGGACUGACUCCUAAAGGGUUAGGGACUGACUUCUAAAGGGUUAGGGACUGACUCCUAAAGGGUUAGGGACUGACUCCUAAAGGGUUAGGGACUGACUCCUAAAGGGUUAGGGGUUAGGGACUGACUCCUAAAGGGUUAGGUUUAGGGACUGACUCCUAAAGGGUUAGGGACUGACUUCUAAAGGUUUAGGGACUGACUCCUAAAGGGUUAGGGACUGACUCCUAAAGGGUUAGGGACUGACUCCUAAAGGGUUAGGGGACUGACUCCUAAAGGGUUAGGGACUGACUCCUAAAGGGUUAGGGACUGACUCCUAAAGGGUUAGGGGUUAGGGACUGACUCCUAAAGGGUUAGGGACUGACUUCUAAAGGUUUAGGGACUGACUCCUAAAGGGUUAGGGACUGACUCCUAAAGGGUUAGGGGUUAGGGACUGACUCCUAAAGGGUUAGGGACUGACUCCUAAAGGGUUAGGGACUGACUCCUAAUGGGUUAGGUUUAGGGACUGACUCCUAAAGGGUUAGGGACUGACUCCUAAUGGGUUAGGUUUAGGGACUGACUUCUAAAUGUUUAGGGACUGACUCCUAAUGGGUUAGGUUUAGGGACUGACUCCUAAUGGGUUAGGGACUGACUCCUAAAGGGUUAGGUUUAGGGACUGACUCCUAAUGGGUUAGGUUUAGGGACUGACUUCUAAAGGUUUAGGGACUGAUUCCUAAAGGAAAGGGUAUAUUUUUAUUUUCAUAAUUGUUGAUCAUUUUCUUAUGUAUUAUUUUUUUACAAAUUAUAUUUCAAUAAAAAAUAUUGUCUGUUGGCUUUUGGAACAUAAUCAAAUCAAGUCUGCCACAGUGUGUGUGUGUGUUUUAGUUGGUUGGCAACCAGUCUUCAUGUGGUGUUGUGUUG